rnacentral:rRNA from 1 species
ACUUAAAUUGAAGAGUUUGAUCAUGGCUCAGAUUGAACGCUGGCGGCAGGCCUAACACAUGCAAGUCGAGCGGUAGCACAGAGAGCUUGCUCUCGGGUGACGAGCGGCGGACGGGUGAGUAAUGUCUGGGAAACUGCCUGAUGGAGGGGGAUAACUACUGGAAACGGUAGCUAAUACCGCAUAACGUCGCAAGACCAAAGUGGGGGACCUUCGGGCCUCAUGCCAUCAGAUGUGCCCAGAUGGGAUUAGCUAGUAGGUGGGGUAACGGCUCACCUAGGCGACGAUCCCUAGCUGGUCUGAGAGGAUGACCAGCCACACUGGAACUGAGACACGGUCCAGACUCCUACGGGAGGCAGCAGUGGGGAAUAUUGCACAAUGGGCGCAAGCCUGAUGCAGCCAUGCCGCGUGUGUGAAGAAGGCCUUCGGGUUGUAAAGCACUUUCAGCGGGGAGGAAGGCGAUAAGGUUAAUAACCUCAUCGAUUGACGUUACCCGCAGAAGAAGCACCGGCUAACUCCGUGCCAGCAGCCGCGGUAAUACGGAGGGUGCAAGCGUUAAUCGGAAUUACUGGGCGUAAAGCGCACGCAGGCGGUCUGUCAAGUCGGAUGUGAAAUCCCCGGGCUCAACCUGGGAACUGCAUUCGAAACUGGCAGGCUAGAGUCUUGUAGAGGGGGGUAGAAUUCCAGGUGUAGCGGUGAAAUGCGUAGAGAUCUGGAGGAAUACCGGUGGCGAAGGCGGCCCCCUGGACAAAGACUGACGCUCAGGUGCGAAAGCGUGGGGAGCAAACAGGAUUAGAUACCCUGGUAGUCCACGCCGUAAACGAUGUCGAUUUGGAGGUUGUGCCCUUGAGGCGUGGCUUCCGGAGCUAACGCGUUAAAUCGACCGCCUGGGGAGUACGGCCGCAAGGUUAAAACUCAAAUGAAUUGACGGGGGCCCGCACAAGCGGUGGAGCAUGUGGUUUAAUUCGAUGCAACGCGAAGAACCUUACCUGGUCUUGACAUCCACAGAACUUUCCAGAGAUGGAUUGGUGCCUUCGGGAACUGUGAGACAGGUGCUGCAUGGCUGUCGUCAGCUCGUGUUGUGAAAUGUUGGGUUAAGUCCCGCAACGAGCGCAACCCUUAUCCUUUGUUGCCAGCGGUCCGGCCGGGAACUCAAAGGAGACUGCCAGUGAUAAACUGGAGGAAGGUGGGGAUGACGUCAAGUCAUCAUGGCCCUUACGACCAGGGCUACACACGUGCUACAAUGGCAUAUACAAAGAGAAGCGACCUCGCGAGAGCAAGCGGACCUCAUAAAGUAUGUCGUAGUCCGGAUUGGAGUCUGCAACUCGACUCCAUGAAGUCGGAAUCGCUAGUAAUCGUAGAUCAGAAUGCUACGGUGAAUACGUUCCCGGGCCUUGUACACACCGCCCGUCACACCAUGGGAGUGGGUUGCAAAAGAAGUAGGUAGCUUAACCUUCGGGAGGGCGCUUACCACUUUGUGAUUCAUGACUGGGGUGAAGUCGUAACAAGGUAACCGUAGGGGAACCUGCGGUUGGAUCACCUCCUUACCUUAAAGAA